UCAUCUCCAAGAAAUCUCCAAACAAAAAUCUCCCCUGAAUUAGAUUUUUUAACCUUCUUUUGAUGAAAAAACGAACAAAUGAAGGGAGUGGAUCAAAUCGAUCCAAUCCAAUGCUACCCAUUUUUUCUCAUUUCCAUCGAAGGGUUAGUAAUCCGAAAUAAAUCAAAGAGAAGGCAUGUGAGGGAGAGGAAAUUUGUCAGAAACGAUUAGAAUCUUGGUGACUUAGUGAAGAUGGGGCCUGUGUGAGUGAACUCGCCUGAGCUUUCAGGCCAGUUAGGGUCGUCUCAGCUUGAUGGAGAAGAUGAACAGUGC
rnacentral:lncRNA from 1 species